rnacentral:rRNA from 1 species
UACGAAGGGGGCUAGCGUUGCUCGGAAUCACUGGGCGUAAAGCGCACGUAGGCGGAUUGCUAAGUCAGGGGUGAAAUCCUGGAGCUCAACUCCAGAACUGCCUUUGAUACUGGCGACCUUGAGUCCGGGAGAGGUGAGUGGAACUGCGAGUGUAGAGGUGAAAUUCGUAGAUAUCGGGAGGAAUACCAGUGGCGAAGGCGCUGGGCUGGACGGCGAUUGACGCUGAGGUGCGAAAGCGUGGGGAGCAAACAGG